rnacentral:rRNA from 1 species
CCUACGGGUGGCAGCAGUGGGGAAUAUUGGACAAUGGGGGCAACCCUGAUCCAGCAAUGCCGCGUGAGUGAUGAAGGCCUUAGGGUUGUAAAGCUCUUUUACCAGGGAUGAUAAUGACAGUACCUGGAGAAUAAGCUCCGGCUAACUCCGUGCCAGCAGCCGCGGUAAUACGGAGGGAGCUAGCGUUGUUCGGAAUUACUGGGCGUAAAGCGCACGUAGGCGGUUACUCAAGUCAGAGGUGAAAGCCCGGGGCUCAACCCCGGAACUGCCUUUGAAACUAGGUAACUUGAAUCCUGGAGAGGUGAGUGGAAUUCCGAGUGUAGAGGUGAAAUUCGUAGAUAUUCGGAAGAACACCAGUGGCGAAGGCGGCUCACUGGACAGGUAUUGACGCUGAGGUGCGAAAGCGUGGGGAGCAAACAGGAUUAGAUACCCUAGUAGUCUC